rnacentral:rRNA from 1 species
GACAGAGGUGCCGAGCGUUAGGCGGAAUCACUGGGCUUAAAGCGUGUAUAGGCGGAUCGUUAUGUACCUUGUGAAAUCCCACGGCUCAACCGUGGAACUGCUGGGUAUACUGGCGAUCUUGAGCAGCUUAGGGGCAGACGGAACAAGUGGUGGAGCGGUGAAAUGCGUAGAUAUCACUUGGAACGCCGACGGUGAAAACAGUCUGCUGGGAGCUUGCUGACGCUGAGACACGAAAGCCAGGGGAGCGAACGGG